AUACGUAGGGGGCGAGCGUUGUCCGGAAUGAUUGGGCGUAAAGGGCGCGUAGGCGGCGCGGUAAGUCUGGAGUGAAAGUCCUGCUUUCAAGGUGGGAAUUGCUUUGGAUACUGCCGCGCUUGAGUGCAGGAGAGGUUAUCGGAAUUCCCGGUGUAGCGGUGAAAUGCGUAGAGAUCGGGAGGAACACCAGUGGCGAAGGCGGGUAACUGGACUGCAACGGACGCUGAGGCGCGAAAGUGUGGGGAGCAAACAGGAUUAGAUACCCUGGUAGUCCACACUGUAAACGAUGAAUGCUAGGUGUAAGAGGUAUCGACCCCUUUUGUGCCGGAGUCAACACAAUAAGCAUUCCGCCUGGGGAGUACGGCCGCGAGGUUGAAACUCAAAUGAAUUGACGGGG
rnacentral:rRNA from 1 species